rnacentral:tRNA from 1 species
GGUCUAGUGGCCUAAUGGUAAGGUACUACUUUCCGGUGCGGUAGUGAUUGCGGGUUCGAGUCCCGUCUAGAUCU